UCUAAACCCAUAAAAAUAAAGUUAGCUUUAUUAAAUUUUAGGUCAUUAGCAGGAAACAUUUUACUUAGUGAUUUUAUCUCUGAGCACAAAGUUUUAAGAGAGAGCAAAAUUAUAUUUGAGUAUGAAAACAA